rnacentral:rRNA from 1 species
CCUAGGGGAGGCAGCAGUGGGGAAUAUUGGGCAAUGGGCGCAAGCCUGACCCAGCAACGCCGCGUGAAGGAAGAAGGCUUUCGGGUUGUAAACUUCUUUUCUCAGGGACGAAGAAAGUGACGGUACCUGAGGAAUAAGCCACGGCUAACUACGUGCCAGCAGCCGCGGUAAUACGUAGGUGGCAAGCGUUAUCCGGAUUUACUGGGUGUAAAGGGCGUGUAGGCGGGACUGCAAGUCAGAUGUGAAAACCACGGGCUCAACCUGUGGCCUGCAUUUGAAACUGUAGUUCUUGAGUACUGGAGAGGCAGACGGAAUGCCUAGUGUAGCGGUGAAAUGCGUAGAUAUUAGGAGGAACACCAGUGGCGAAGGCGGCCUGCUGGACGAUGACUGACGUUGAGGCUCGAAAGCGUGGGGAGCAAACAGGAUUAGAUACCCCUGUAGUC